AACGAUAAAGGCAAACCCGGUGAAAACCGGAGACGCAAAGCUAUGGGUCUACUAUCUCGCGCUCACGAGAUCAAGACUGCCAGGCUGCCGAAA
rnacentral:ncRNA from 1 species